UCAUUCGAUGAAGACCGUUGCAAAUUGCGA
rnacentral:rRNA from 1 species